GUCCGGGUGGUGGAAUUGGUAGACACGCUACUUUGAGGGGGUAGUGGCCGUUCGGCUGUGUGAGUUCGAAUCUCAUCUCGGACAC
rnacentral:tRNA from 1 species